UAUAUUGGGUCAUCUAAAAAGUAUCCGCGGUUUUUUAUCACUAGAUUUUUAUCACUGGUGUUGACCAUCCUCCUAACCAACAACCUAGGGAAAAUCACAUGAUCGAUAGAUCCGAAUUUAGAUUUCGUAGAAGUUCGAUGUUUGUUGGACACGGACCGAACAUCAUUUGAUUUUGAGUCGCCGUCGCGGUAACAUCGCUUGAGACCAAUACUUUUAUUUGUAAAAAAAUUAAAAAGUAAUUACAUUGUGCAGGGUAACAAUGGCUCGGGUUCGGCGGGCUGGUCGAAAACAAGUUUUGCGGGCAUUAGUACGUGAAUAUUACAGAGUGAUUGAUUUUGAUCCGCGCGUGUUCUCGGAUCACCAAUGGAUUCAGAAUCGCCGGGGAUAUCAUCCAGUACCGGGUACGGACGCUUCUGAGAAGAUGGUCGAAUAUGCGAAUAGGACGCAUGCUAUCGACGAAGUGCUCAGAGACUUCGAGACAUUGAACAUUCAGACAAAAGAUUUGCCCGAGAAAUACAUCGCUGAGUUGGACGUCAUACAUCCGUUUCCUGUUUUGCAUUUUUGCAAUGAUAUCCGACAGGGAUUUGAGAACAUUUACAAUAUGCUUCGACCUGGCGGGACUUUCUAUAUGAUGAGUAUCUUCUCAUGACAUGAAAAUGAUUUAAAAUCUUGAAAUUAUGACAGAGAACAAGCGCUUUGCAUCAUAUUUGUACGACGUGAAGAAAUACACCGCGCCGUUUCCAGAUACGGACAGGCCUCACAUAGCAUUAAAAGAAUUACUUCAGAGUAUCGGAUUUACGGUUUACUAUUGCAAUACCCGAAAUGUGAACGACAAUAGUCCGUACGAUGAAAAGCCAUUCGUUAUGUCUGUCUUUUCAUUUUUGCACGAGAUGCCAUCUGGUCGAGCGAAGAACUUCAAAAAGGAGUUUAUAGGUGAAUAUACGUGAAAAUAACGAAAGGAAAAUACAAGCAUAAUGAUGAACCGCUGACGCUGUACAGAUACAAACUACUAAUAGUGAAAGCAUGAAAAAACUAGAAUAGAUAAUAAUCAUGUAUGAGUGAUAUUGUGUAAUAAUUACGUGUACAUAUUAUUUAAAUUAUUUGUAGAAAAUUCAUUAU
rnacentral:misc_RNA from 1 species